CGUAACUAUAACGGUCCUAAGGUAGCGAAAUUCCUUGUCGGGUAAGUUCCGACCUGCACGAAUGGCGUAACGAUGGCCACGCUGUCUCCACCCGAGACUCAGUGAAAUUGAAUUUGCGGUUAAGAUGCCGUAUACCCGCGGCUAGACGGAAAGACCCCGUGAACCUUUACUACAGCUUUGCACUGAACUUUGAGCCUGCUUGUGUAGGAUAGGUGGGAGGCUUUGAAAUCGUGACGCCAGUUGCGGUGGAGCCAUCCUUGAAAUACCACCCUGGCAUGUUUGAGGUUCUAACCCAGGUCCGUUAUCCGGAUCGGGGACAGUGUAUGGUGGGUAGUUUGACUGGGGCGGUCUCCUCCCAAAGAGUAACGGAGGAGCACGAAGGUACCCUAAGCAUGGUCGGACAUCAUGCGGUUAGUGCAAUGGCAUAAGGGUGCUUAACUGCGAGACAGACACGUCGAGCAGGUGCGAAAGCAGGUCAUAGUGAUCCGGUGGUUCUGUAUGGAAGGGCCAUCGCUCAACGGAUAAAAGGUACUCCGGGGAUAACAGGCUGAUACCGCCCAAGAGUUCAUAUCGACGGCGGUGUUUGGCACCUCGAUGUCGGCUCAUCACAUCCUGGGGCUGUAGCCGGUCCCAAGGGUAUGGCUGUUCGCCAUUUAAAGUGGUACGCGAGCUGGGUUUAGAACGUCGUGAGACAGUUCGGUCCCUAUCUGCCGUGGGCGUUUGAGAAUUGAGAGGAGCUGCUCCUAGUACGAGAGGACCGGAGUGGACGUACCUCUGGUGUUCCGGUUGUCAUGCCAAUGGCAUUGCCGGGUAGCUAUGUACGGACGGGAUAACCGCUGAAAGCAUCUAAGCGGGAAGCCCCCCUCGAGAUGAGUUCUCACUGGGAACUUGAUUCCCCUAAAGGGUCGUCGAAGACUACGACGUUGAUAGGCUGGGUGUGGAAGUGCGGCAACGUAUGAAGCUAACCAGUACUAAUUGCCCGUGAGGCUUGACCAU
rnacentral:rRNA from 1 species